rfam:Aedes aegypti strain Liverpool supercont1.149 genomic scaffold, whole genome shotgun sequence.
CCUCUCAUGGUGUAGUGGUAACGCGCCCCAACUAGAGAUCGGGGAGUCGUGAGUUCGAUUCUCACUGAGAAGA